GAUGUCGGCUCUUCCUAUCAUUGUGAAGUAGAAUUCACCAAGUGUUGGAUUAUUCACCCACCAAUAGGGAACAUGAGCUGGGUUUAGACUGUCGUGAGAGAGGUUAGUUUUACCCACAGUAGGGGUGUCGUUUCGGCACCCCCAGGGGCCCGUGUCACUUGCAAACCUCAGCCAGGAAGCAUCUCGAUCGGGGCAGCUUUGAAGUUCAAUUUCAAAUGGUCGUUGAGAAGAAUCCUUUGCAGACGACUUAAAUAUGCGACAGGGUAUUGUAAGUGGCAGAGUGGCCUUGCUGCCACUAUCCACUGAGAUUUAUCCCUUUGUCGCCUCGAUUCAG
rnacentral:ncRNA from 1 species